UACGUAGGGGGCAAGCGUUGUCCGGAUUUAUUGGGCGUAAAGAGCGUGUAGGCGGCCAUGUAGGUCCGUUGUGAAAACUCGAGGCUUAACCUCGAGCUGUCGGCGGAAACCAUCUGGCUAGAGUCCGGAAGAGGAGAAUGGAAUUCCCGGUGUAGCGGUGAAAUGCGCAGAUAUCGGGAAGAACACCCGUGGCGAAGGCGGUUCUCUGGGACGGUACUGACGCUGAGACGCGAAAGCGUGGGGAGCGAACAGG
rnacentral:rRNA from 1 species